rnacentral:rRNA from 1 species
UACAGAGGUCUCAAGCGUUGUUCGGAUUUACUGGGCGUAAAGGGCGCGUAGGCGGCCAGCACAAGUCAGUUGUGAAAUCUCCGAGCUUAACUCGGAACGGUCAACUGAUACUGUGCGGCUAGAGUGCAGAAGGGGCAACUGGAAUUCUUGGUGUAGCGGUGAAAUGCGUAGAUAUCAAGAGGAACACCUGCGGCGAAGGCGGGUUGCUGGGCUGACACUGACGCUGAGGCGCGAAAGCUAGGGGAGCGAACGGG